rnacentral:rRNA from 1 species
GAACGAGAUCUUCGGAUCUAGUGGCGCACGGGUGAGUAACGCGUGGGAACCUGUCCUUUGGUACGGAAUAACAUCGGGAAACUGGUGCUAAUACCGUAUAUUCCCUGAGGGGGAAAGAUUUAUCGCCAAAGGAGGGGCCCGCGUAGGAUUAGCUAGUUGGUGAGGUAACGGCUCACCAAGGCGACGAUCCUUAGCUGGUCUGAGAGGAUGAUCAGCCACACUGGGACUGAGACACGGCCCAGACUCCUACGGGAGGCAGCAGUGGGGAAUAUUGGACAAUGGGGGAAACCCUGAUCCAGCCAUGCCGCGUGUGUGAUGAAGGCCUUCGGGUUGUAAAGCACUUUCACACGUGACGAUGAUGACGGUAACGUGAGAAGAAGCCCCGGCUAACUUCGUGCCAGCAGCCGCGGUAAUACGAAGGGGGCAAGCGUUGUUCGGAAUUACUGGGCGUAAAGGGCGCGUAGGCGGUGCACUAAGUCAGGCGUGAAAGCCCUGGGCUCAACCCGGGAAUUGCGUUUGAUACUGGUGCGCUUGAAUCCAGGAGAGGUUGGUGGAAUUCCCAGUGUAGAGGUGAAAUUCGUAGAGAUUGGGAAGAACACCGGUGGCGAAGGCGGCCAACUGGACUGGUAUUGACGCUGAGGCGCGAAAGCGUGGGGA